AGUUAAUAAGUUUUAAUAACAUAUAUUUUGAAAAUAUAAAAAAGAAGUUACAGCCUUCUAUUAACUU
rnacentral:tRNA from 1 species